CUAUAAGACGCUCCAGGCGAAUGAGCUCGGUAAAGAAGGUGCACGGAGUAUUUGGUUUUGAGUCCUUUAUUUUAAUGCUAAACUUGAACUUCCUAAGUUUCUUCUUCCAUUCCUGUUUGUGAAGAAUCCGGGGAAUGUUCUGCCAAAGAUUAAAAGCCACAGAAUCACAGUGGUAAGCACACAGUAGGAACUUAAUGAAAGGAGAAGAAAAUCGACUAUGAGAAGUUAAGAAAUGUUUUCAAGAUCACAUGACUGGCAUUGAAAUUCAGACCUGCUUAACUCCAUACCCUCUUUCCACUACCACCAUUGUAUAUUAUGAAUGCUUGUAGUCAUCUCUGCCACUGCAAAUUAUGUGCUGUUAUCCACUGUCUCUUUCUCUCAACUGUCACCUUUAUCAGUUAAACAAAAACCCACAGCUUGGGAACCAACCUAGAGGAUUUGAAAGGCACUCGUCCCUUUCCUGCUCUUUUACCCCUCUUAAAAUUAUUACACUCUUCUCUUCUACAUAGUUUUUUUUCCCUUCUGUCCAGCCUGGGUCAUUAUUAUACUCUUAGAGAGAGAUCUAAUAUUCUACUUUAGAAAAAUAUACAUAUAUUUUUCUUCACAUUAGAAAUCUGUGAAAACCCCAUAUUAACUCUUAAAUCCAUGGUUAAAAAAAUUUUUUUUAAGUUAUGAGUUAUAAAAUCUUUCAUAGAAUUACUGUUUUAUGUGAAACAUCUGCAAUAGUUUGGAACUUUUUUUUUUAGUAAUUUAAGCAUAUAGUUGAAUAUUAUAUGUUUUCAUCCAGAUUUAGUGUUAUGGCUUAGUAUUUCUAGACCAAUCAUUAUAUUUUUAUUUUGAUUAAUUUUGGAUUCCCAUUCCCUAUGAAUUAAAGUCUACAAUCCCUGCCAUUUAAGCCUCCAUUUACUUCCCACUUUUCCUCUUAGGGCACCCUAUAUUCCACCUGGAAAGUAAUCUUUGUUCCCUACAUAUGCUAGGAACUUUCUCGUUUGCUGCCUUAACUCAUAGGAACUUCUCCUUUCAUCCCUGCUUCCGUUAAUGCUGCCUAUUUUUAAAAGCCAGCUUAAAUGUUAUCUCAAACUUGAAACCAUGCAAAUGAAAUGUUAUCUCAAACUUGAAACCAUGUUAAUUUAAACAAAUAUCUUUUUUGUUGAACUCUGGAGGGAUUGUCUUUAUACCCCUUCUUUGUCCCUUGAAAGGUCGCUUGCACAUAGUAGGCACUGAUAUAUUAAUGAUAAGCUAUGUGAGUCAAAUGUAAAGUAUGGCAGCUAUUUUAACAUUAUUACAGACAUUUCCAGAUACUUCUUAGAGCACUUAUAUUGUUAUUGACGGCAUUUCACUAAAUAAUGGUAGUUUAAAAACUGCUUUAGUUAUAUAUUUGUUUUCAUUUUUUCCAGAUAAGCAAAAUCAUGAGAAAAAUACCAUGGCUUUUAGCUCUAUUGCUUUAAAUACUAAUUUUAUACUUAUUUAUUGGAUGUUUAAAAUAGAAAUAUUUUUAUCAGUAACUUUAUAUCAGCCUAAAUCUUUCUAUCAGUAACUUUAAUAGUAUCUAUUUUUCCUACAAUGUCUUAUUUAUAUUACUCUCUCCAAAGGGGUAAAAAAGAAGUAUAGUUACCACCAAAAGUUUUUAAUUUGUUGCUCUUGAGACACUUCCAGUGUCUCAAAAAGAGAACUGGGCUAGAAGUCAAACAUCCUGGAUUGUAGUUCUUACUCUUCAAUUGUUUUUACUGUAACUUUUGGCAGUACUCAGUCUCUUUGAAACCAAAUUUAUUUUACUGAAAUUUGAGGGAAUUGAAUUUAAUAAUUAAACUUACAACUGUAAAAAUUAGGCUGCAGUAAUAUUUUUUAAAUGUUUAAAUAACAUGUGUAAUCUCACCCUAACAUAUUUGUUUUCAAUUUUGCAUGCUAUCUUUCAGAUUUGAUUCUAAGAUUCAUUUCAGUGGCUAAAGACUGAUUUGAAGUUUUGUGCUUAUAGACCAAGAAUUGGCGGACCUGAGAUACGGUCUUUCCUAGUUGGAUUCUACCAACUUGAAAUAAGUCCCAGACCUCAAUAAAGUUAUUUUUUUUCAUUUUAAAUUAUAAAUAAGAUUAUUUGUUCUGCUCUUUCAUUUGACCGUCUUUAUGAGGUUCAAAUGACAUUAUGAUACUUAAUAUUAAUAAAUGAUGGAGCUCUGAAAAUGCCUGGCUUGACGCUAGAAAACUGUAUUAGAUAAAACAAGGGACAAGAGCCAUUUUAACAUGAUCAUGAUUAUUUAGCCUUGGAAAAAUAACUGGUUUGGUAGAGUUGACUGACAGAUAGUCUUUUGGAUACAUUUAUUUAUUUCUCACUCCCAUUUCAGGGAAACCUUAGGUCAGCUCUACUGAAUGAAAUGGUUCAUGCACCUCAUUGACCAUCCCAGACGAUCUGUAAGAUUCCAUCUGGGAAAUCACUUGGAGAUCUUGGAAGGAAAAGAAGGAAGACUGUUGGUUGGAAUAAAAGCAAGGUUAAAUGGAUUCCGGAAAGCGGGGCUCUCAAACUUGUAGACAACAAUCUGCAGAAGAUGACUUCAAAAAACCAACUAGAAGCAACAUGUAGAGAAGUAAGAUGUGAUGUGAGGGGGCUCCUCUAGUCCACAGCAGUAAAAUCUUGAGACAGCUCUCCUAGUAAGAUGAGGGGAUCCCUCUGUAGAGAACACUUCUUCAGGAUAUGUGAGGAAGACCAGAAGGAACAAACAGAGACUCCUGGAAACAAAGAAGGCGUACAGAGCACUAUACCUACUGAGGUUAUUGUAAGAAUCAGAGGAACGUUGGCCUGAGGAGGAGAGCCUUGCAUUGUUGGGCUAUUUGCAUGAUUUCCUAAAAUAUCUGGCAAAUAAUUCUGUAUCUCUGUUUACUGCCAGUAAUCACAAAGCAGCUUUUGCUGAGUACCACUGCAAAGCCCUGUGAGGGUCUACAGACCACUCAUUCUUAUCUGUCUGGUAUCUGGAAACAUUUUUUUUUGUUCUUAGCCUUUUUCUUGUAAGAUUGAUGUUCUUUAAAAUUGUUGAUGUAUAACAGGGCUAAUUGUUAAUGUGCAACAGGGCACAGUUUGUUUUCUGUGCUGUUUGAAACAGAAAAUGAAAGAAGUGUAAGCUCCUUUUCUCAUUUGAAAGUUGCUAUGCAGCGUAUGCAGUAAUUAGAACAAAGAAGAGAACAUUCAGUAUAACAUUUUAUUGCCUAGUUGACAACAGUGCUUGGAAACUGGUGGUUUUAUCUCUUCGAUACUACACAAUUUUCGAAUGUGCGUUAAUGCUAUGUGACAAAAUGCCCUGAUUCCUAGUGCCAAAGGUUCAACUUAAUGCGUAUACCCCCAAACCCAUGAUUUCUGCUCAUUUUUUAAAAAAUGUUCUUGAGUAAACCAGCCCAUCCCCUGCAAGUCCACCUGUGUUGGUCCUUAGGCAUUCUAUCUUUGCUCUAAUUGUUGAAGGAUGGUGGUUUUUGUAUUUGAGACUAAUGUACAUUCUAACAUGAUAAAGGCAAUUCAUUAUUGUAUAGCCAUGGUUUUCUGAAAAAGUUAAUAUUUCAGAGAUUGUAUUUCAGAUCUUAAAUAAAAUUUGUUUCUAAAUUUCAAAGCUAAAAGAAAACACAAUCAAGUCAGCAAAUUAAGUCAGUUUGGUCAUGUCUUAACGUUUUACACACACACAUGACUGGUAGUACACACACACACACACACACACACACACACAUACAUACUUCAGCACAUAAUCCCCGCAAUAUGGCAAUGGUCUAUGCAGAAACACAAGAUGAGGUUAUUUAAAAAUGCUCACCUAUUUAGCAUGAAUCUUUGCAAUAUUUCACUCUUCUUCUUCCUUUGGUGACUUUAUAUUACAGGUUCAUAGGCUUCUAAGUAUACUAUCUUUCACCAUUGUUUGAAAGACUUAGCCUCGUUCCAAAUUUAAGAAAUUAUGAAAUUCAUAAGAAGUUAUGAACUUCAUAAAGUCUCACAGAAAAAAAUAAGUAUUAUCUGCAUUACAUUUUAUAAUUAAAUUUGAAUUUGUUCCAUUUAUAGUUAUAUUUGAAUUCAGCAUUCUCAUGAGGAAACUUAGGUAGAUAGCCUAGUUUUAAGAAAUUCAGAGUAACAUAAUGAAUAGAAUUGCUAAGAC